CGCUCGGUGGCAGAUGGUCCACAUCUGCUUCUCAUUCGACUUCGGGUCAGAUUCGGCAGAAGUUCGCUCGUUCGACUCGAGCCCGAGCCA